UCUCGAUUGGUCUAGUGGUCAGGAUACCUGCUUGUCAUCCAUCUCGAUGAUUCAUUUCAUCGGAGGUCAAAAUUCGCAGGUGGCCGGGGUUCGAUUCCCCGAUCGAGAG